GAGUAACGCGUAUCCAACCUUCCCCCCAGUAGGGCAUAGCCCGGCGAAAGUCGGAUUAAUACCCUAUGUUUUCCAAUGAGGACAUCUGAGCUGGAACGAAAGAUUUAUCGCUGGGGGAUGGGGAUGGCGUCCGAUUAGGUUGUUGGCGGGGUAACGGCCCACCAAGGCCCGCGAUCGGUAGGGUUCUGAGAGGAAGGUCCCCCCACACUGGUACUGAGACACGGACCAGACUCCUACGGGAGGCAGCAGUGAGGAAUAUUGGUCAAGUGGGCGUAAGCCUGAACCAGCCAAGUAGCGUGCAGGACGACGGCCCUAUGGGUUGUAAACUGCUUUUAUGCGGGGAUAAAGUGAGGUAUGUAUACCUUUUGUAGGUACCGCAUGAAUAAGGACCGGCUAAUUCCGUGCCAGCAGCCGC
rnacentral:rRNA from 1 species